GUGGGGAAUAUUGGACAAUGGGGGGAACCCUGAUCUAGCCAUGCCGCGUGUGUGAAGAAGGCCUUUUGGUUGUAAAGCACUUUAAGCGAGGAGGAGGCUACCGAGAUUAAUACUCUUGGAUAGUGGACGUUACUCACAGAAUAAGCACCGGCUAACUCUGUGCCAGCAGCCGCGGUAAUACAGAGGGUGCAAGCGUUAAUCGGAUUUACUGGGCGUAAAGCGCGCGUAGGUGGCCAAUUAAGUCAAAUGUGAAAUCCCCGAGCUUAACUUGGGAAUUGCAUUCGAUACUGGUUGGCUAGAGUAUGGGAGAGGAUGGUAGAAUUCCAGGUGUAGCGGUGAAAUGCGUAGAGAUCUGGAGGAAUACCGAUGGCGAAGGCAGCCAUCUGGCCUAAUACUGACACUGAGGUGCGAAAGCAUGGGGAGCAAACAGGAUUAGAAACCCCUGUAGUCC
rnacentral:rRNA from 1 species